AAAGUUUUUUGUUAGUUUCACGCUACAUGAGUUAUAAAAUACAACUGACAGUGAACGUCAUGUUAUUCAAGUUGACCAGUUGGUGUGUUUGUUUCGAGUUUUUAUUAGCUUAUUGUGCCGAUAUUAUCAUUAACAAUGUCACGACCAAGACGAUCAAAUUAUUCCCGACAAAGACGUAAUGCAACUAGGAUUCGAAAUAUUGCGCAUGAAAGGACUGAAGAAGAACAAAAAAUUGCAGGUGAAAAGAACCGCGUUAGUAUGGAUUGUCUUCGUGCUAUGAAUCACAAGAGCAAACCGUAGCAGCCCGUAAAACGGAUCAGCUGGCAAUACGAAAUCGUCCAGUAAAACCUCAGAGAUCAACAACUUCUAGAUAAUUUUCGACGCACAAGAAGAAGAAGUUUAUAAAGUACUGAUUUGAAUCGAGCAUCGUUUCGAUACGAUUGCAGUACUUAUACUGUACUGUAGUACUGCUUGCAUACUAGCUUUCACAUUGGGCCGAUGGACGUUGUUUGCGAGUAUUCUGCGGAGAAACGCAAGAAUUGUGCUGCCAUGUUCUAGAAAACACUCAAAAAUGCAAUGUUUGUUUCCAAAUGAUCUCAUUUGGGGCAGACAUCUAAGAACGAGGAUUUAAUCCGACAUUCAAGAUAUAAGGACAGAUUCACCAUCGUAUUGGAUCACUGCAACCUCUCGAAGAUGCACAGCUUAAAUUUUUACAAUUAUACUUCAUGGGCAACAUGGACAACUAACUUGAUCGAUGUCAAGAGAUCAAUGCAGCAAUGGAACGAGUGUGCUGCAAUGCGUAGUGCAGAACAGCGUGUGAUGUCAUGUGAUGCAUUGCAUAGUAUUCGCAUGAUACAGCCAGGCUCAAGCAAUGGAAGACCACUGUCGAAUGUCCCUUGGCUAUGAAUCUGUGUAUCGGGGACAUUGUUGGUUAGAUCUUUAUAUUUACUAGACAGGGAUGGGACAUUCGGUCAUAACGGAAAAUGACAUGAUGUUAAA